ACGCUGGCGGCGUGCUUAACACAUGCAAGUCGAACGGUAAGGCCCUUCGGGGUACACGAGUGGCGAACGGGUGAGUAACACGUGGGUGAUCUGCCCUGCACUUCGGGAUAAGCUUGGGAAACUGGGUCUAAUACCGGAUAGGACCACGGUCUGCAUGGAUUGUGGUGGAAAGCUUUUGCGGUGUGGGAUGGGCCCGCGGCCUAUCAGCUUGUUGUGGGGUGAUGGCCUACCAAGGCGACGACGGGUAGCCGGCCUGAGAGGGUGUCCGGCCACACUGGGACUGAGAUACGGCCCAGACUCCUACGGGAGGCAGCAGUGGGGAAUAUUGCACAAUGGGCGCAAGCCUGAUGCAGCGACGCCGCGUGGGGGAUGACGGCCUUCGGGUUGUAAACCUCUUUCAGCAGGGACGAAGGGUGACUGACGGUACCUGUAGAAGAAGCACCGGCCAACUACGUG
rnacentral:rRNA from 1 species